GACGAACGCUGGCGGCGUGCUUAACACAUGCAAGUCGAACGUUGAGGAAAAGAAUCGAAGCUUCGGCAGAAAUUCAUUUCGGAUUAGUGGCAGACGGGUGAGUAACGCGUGAGCAACCUACCUCUUACAAAGGGAUAGCCUCGGGAAACCGGGAUUAAUACCAUAUAACAUUGCGACGAAGCAUUUCGAUGCAAUCAAAGCUACGGCGGUAAGAGAUGGGCUCGCGUCCCAUUAACCGGAUGGUGAGGUAACGGCUCACCAUAGUGACGAUGGGUAACCGGCCUGAGAGGGUGAACGGUCACACUGGAACUGAGACACGGUCCAGACUCCUACGGGAGGCAGCAGUGGGGAAUAUUGCACAAUGGAGGGAACUCUGAUGCAGCGACGCCGCGUGAGUGAUGAAGGAAUUCGUUUCGUAAAACUCUGUUCUAUGGGAAGAAAAGGACUGUACCAUAGGAGAAAGCUCCGGCUAAAUACGUG
rnacentral:rRNA from 1 species